UCGAACCAUCUCUCAUUUUCUUCCGUUGCUUUUCCCUUUCGCCUGCUCUCUGUUUCUCUCUGCUUUUCUCCCUGUUCAAUCUUCGUGUUUCCUUGCUUAACUCUCUUCCAUUUUCUUCCGUCGCUUUUCCCUUUCUCUUCCUCUCUGUUUCCGUGCUUUUCUCCCUGCGUCAAUCCUUCGUGUUUCCCUGCUUCUCUCUCUGCGUCGAUCGUGUGUCGUAUGAAGAGUUUCUUUUCCGGGUGAUUGCACUGUUUCAGGAAAAUUGGUGUGCGAAUUUUAGGGUUUUUGUGUACAACCUUGCAAACCCCUUCUGAUUAAGUGGUUUCGUGCUAUCUUGAACUCCAAGUGGAAAGCCCAGGGAGCAGAAAAUGGACAAUCACAAUUAUUAUUGUAGGUGGAUCGGAUUUGAAGUAUUUUUUAGGGUGGGUAAAAAGGUUGAGCGGAGUUGGGAAAAUUCCUAAGUGGUUAAAGAAGAUUAGAAGAAACGUUCUGUUUAUUCCUCCAGAAAAGAUUAAGAAAGUUGGUGGUCACAAAUCAACUGACUCAACUUUUAUCAACAUUGGAGCAUGCCUUACAAGUGUAAAUCAACUUUUUUAUUCUAUUUUAUAGAAUGAAUUAAGUUCUGAAGUUUAUAUAUUCUGAAACCGUGUUCGUCACUGGAAGUUAUGCAGCUAUGCAGAGGGAUACGUAGUGGAACUUGGAUUUCAAAGAUCACAGUGAACAGGGUGAUAGGUGUAUUUCCUCCUUUUUUUACCAUUUUAAAACUUAUAUUAGUGAUAAAUUAAUUCGAAUCAUGUGGCAUGAACUUAAAGCUCUGUUUGGGAAAGUGGGCUCUUUACCCCAAAGAUGCUUGCUUUUGGUAAUAUUUGGAAUUGUGCUUCUAAGCUGUUUUUCAAGCUUUUGGCCAUACUAAAUGGAGCUAAGUCGAACAGCUCUUCAGUUGCAUUGUAGUUGCUUUCCUAAAUUGAUUGUUCAUUUGUUGAAAAAAUUUUAAGGGCGAAAAUUAUGUUUCAAAUUGGAUUUAGAUAUGAGUAUUACACAUUCAACGUGUUGAAUUCAUCUUUGUUUUGGUGUUUGUGGUUUUGAAUGUCAUUUAGUGCAGUAUAGCUUUAACUUAAAUGUGGUUCUAUAUAUCUCAAGUACUCAUUUGGAUUUUGAGCAGUAGGAGAGAGUUUAGCACGUAUUUGAGGAAAUGCGAAGAACUUUUUUUGAAAUGGUUAGAGUUUGAGAUUCUCAGAAGGAAGCUCCUAUGAGUUUUUGGUUUUUUGUGUUGAUUUGAACAAAUUCGGUUUUUAUAUUUAUUAAUUUUUGUUGUGUGAGUAGUAUUUAUUGGGCUUGAUGUUUUUUUGAAACACCAGGUGGUUUGGAGAUGUUUGAAAUCAUAAGAAGACUCGAAGAUUUCAGCCAGAUAAAUCUUUAUGAACAGUCUCCUGCUUCUAUCAAUACCCAUGCCUAUUUUUUCACACAUUUAGUCUUCAGUAGAUGGGCUAAGCAAUUUCCACGUGGCAUUGUAUCAAAUUAUCAUUGAUCGUAGGAAAGGUUUGACCUUUGAAUUGGAGCUAUAGUGUUCGUUCCUAUUGCUACAUUGGCAGCUUUUGGCUCAGAAAUGUUCACAGUUGUCUUCAUCUGAAACGAGUCAAUCAACUGUAUACCAUCACCGUCAAACAUUGAGAACUUCAGCAUGUACUACAAAUCUCGAUCAAAGCUAGAUUAACCUCUCAUAUGGUUUUUGCCAAUUGUCAUUUUUGAAGGCUAUGACAGUUUAUGUCAUCAUCCAGUGUUACUAUUUGGAGAAGAUUGCUGAUCAAAAUAAUAGAAGCAUGUACAUCAUCACAAAUAAAACAAAAAAAUUG